UACGUAGGGUCCGAGCGUUGUCCGGAAUUAUUGGGCGUAAAGCGCGCGUAGGCGGUUACUCAAGUCGGAUGUGAAAGCCCUCGGCUUAACUGAGGAAGUGCACCCGAAACUGAGUAGCUAGAGUACUAAAGAGGGUCGCGGAAUUCCCAGUGUAGAGGUGAAAUUCGUAGAUAUGGGGAGGAACACCGGUGGCGAAGGCGGCCACCUGGACGGUAACUGACGCUGAGACGCGAAAGCGUGGGGAGCAAACAGG
rnacentral:rRNA from 1 species